CGAAUGAAGUUCCUUCGGGAACGGAUUUAGCGGCNGACGGGUGAGUAACACGUGGGCAACCUGCCUCAUAGAGGGGAAUAGCCUUCCGAAAGGGAGAUUAAUACCGCAUAAGAUUGUAGUACCGCAUGGUACAGCAAUUAAAGGAGCAAUCCGCUAUGAGAUGGGCCCGCGGCGCAUUAGCUAGUUGGUGAGGUAACGGCUCACCAAGGCGACGAUGCGUAGCCGACCUGAGAGGGUGAUCGGCCACAUUGGGACUGAGACACGGCCCAGACUCCUACGGGAGGCAGCAGUGGGGAAUAUUGCACAAUGGGGGAAACCCUGAUGCAGCAACGCCGCGUGAGUGAUGACGGCCUUCGGGUUGUAAAGCUCUGUCUUCAGGGACGAUAAUGACGGUACCUGAGGAGGAAGCCACGGCUAACUACGUGCCAGCAGCCGCGGUAAUACGUAGGUGGCGAGCGUUGUCCGGAUUUACU
rnacentral:rRNA from 1 species